UUAGCCUUUUUUUCUACGAGAUAAUCUGUUUUCUUUUAAACUUAUAUUGAAAAAAAAAAAAGUAAAUUACAUAAUAAUCCGUUUCAAACAAGGCAAAGCAAGGGAAACCAUUCAGAAAGAUACAAAACAUGCUUCUAGAUUCUCCUCUUCCCUGCAUGCUUUUUGUAUGCUGACUGCCUGGUGCCGAUAUCAAUGAUUGACAGGGAAGAUGGAGGCUCCCAGUUGCAGGAUAAAGAAAUAAGGAUUUUUACUUUUGAUUUUUCAAACCUCACAAAUACAUAUUUGUUAUGCGUUGUUAAGUAAAAAUCCUAUUAAAAAUCCUGGGAGGUGG